UUUGGCACUGGAUCCACCAACACAGGGCACCCCUCCUGGAGCCAGCUCUUGGGGGCAUCUGCCCUGCCUGUGCAUCUGGGGGAUUCAUUCUGGCCAUAGGCAGCCGAGAAGUGGGACCUGUGUGGUGGGUGUCAGGGAUGGGCAGGGACUCUUAUCUGGGCCCAUCCAGCUCCCUGCCUGGCUCUCCCCACUCCUUUGCAGAGCCAUCCCCACUGCUGGGAUGUUUGGGGUGCAGCAGGAAUUGCCAGUCUCUGCAGCUCUCCUCUCCCCGGCUCAGGAAACUUGACUUCAUGCUUGCCUGGAAACCCACCUUCCAGCCCUGCCCUCGCUGAGACCUGUGAGACGGAAGAGGUUCUAGGCCCACCUCAGGGUCUCAGCAGGAAGCCACCAUGUGGUGAGCUGCCCUACUGAGAAGCUCACAUAGCAAGGAGGGCAGCCUCCAGCCUGCAGCCACUGAGAAACUGAGGUCCACAGGGACUGAACCCUGCCAAUAACCUCUUGAUGAGCUUGGAAGUCAAUCCACCCCCAGUUAAGCUUGGAGAUGACUGCAGGCCCAGCCAUCACCUUGACUACAGCCUCACGGCCAACCCAGAAGCAGAGAGCCCGGCUAAGUGAUGGCCAGGUUCCUGACUCACAGA
rnacentral:lncRNA from 1 species